CAGGGAGACAACAAAAUGUUUAAUAUUAUUAUUUUGUCACCUUAGGUCGAUCGGUAUCUCACGUUUUUAAUUUAUUAAGAAUUUCAUUUCCUAAGUUUUUCUAGGUCACACCCAUUAUUUUUCCUGGGCCAUUAGCUCAGGUGGUUAGAGCGCACCCCUGAUAAGGGUGAGGUCCCUGGUUCAAGUCCAGGAUGGCCCAUAUCUCUAUGUUGGGGGUAUAGCUCAGUUGGUAGAGCGCCUGCUUUGCAAGCAGGAUGUCAGCGGUUCGAGUCCGCUUACCUCCACUGAUCACCACCUCUUCCAUAAUCGGUAGAAAGGAAAUUUUUUGAGUUGUGAUCAAAUUCUGAAAGAAUCUAGCUUCCUAAUGAAAUCAUUAAGAUGCUGGACUCAUUGAAUUAAUUUCAUUGUUUUCAGAGAACCUUGACAACUGCAUAGAUUAUUUUUAAAGACAAUAAGCAUCUUUAAUGAUGCAGAUUUAUUAUUUGUGCGAAUGCAUUAAUAACAAUUCUAUUAAGCUGAUGCUUCAAUUUUUGAAGUUAUU
rnacentral:tRNA from 1 species